GACGAACGCUGGCGGCGUGCUUAACACAUGCAAGUCGAACGUGAUUUUUGUGGAAAUUCUUUCGGGAAUGGAAAUGAAAUGAAAGUGGCGAACGGGUGAGUAACACGUGAGCAACCUACCUUACACAGGGGGAUAGCCGUUGGAAACGACGAUUAAUACCGCAUGAGACCACAGAAUCGCAUGAUAUAGGGGUCAAAGAUUUAUCGGUGUAAGAAGGGCUCGCGUCUGAUUAGCUAGUUGGAAGGGUAAAGGCCUACCAAGGCGACGAUCAGUAGCCGGUCUGAGAGGAUGAACGGCCACAUUGGAACUGAGACACGGUCCAAACUCCUACGGGAGGCAGCAGUGGGGAAUAUUGCACAAUGGGGGGAACCCUGAUGCAGCGACGCCGCGUGAGCGAAGAAGGUUUUCGAAUCGUAAAGCUCUGUCCUAUGAGAAGAUAAUGACGGUAUCAUAGGAGGAAGCCCCGGCUAAAUACGUGCCAGCAGCCGCGGUAAUACGUAUGGGGCGAGCGUUGUCCGGAAUUAUUGGGCGUAAAGGGUACGUAGGCGGUUUUUUAAGUCAGGUGUGAAAGCGUGAGGCUUAACCUCAUUAAGCACUUGAAACUGGAAGACUUGAGUGAAGGAGAGGAAAGUGGAAUUCCUAGUGUAGCGGUGAAAUGCGUAGAUAUUAGGAGGAAUACCGGUGGUGAAGGCGACUUUCUGGGAUUUUACUGACGCUCAGGUACGAAACCUGGGGAGCGCACAUGACUAAUACCCUGGUAGUCCAGGGGCAAAUCCACAAUGAAUUUCAAGUUAUCAUCCUCUACCGGGGGGGUGGGUUGUUGUAUCUCGCUUAUCCCUCUUAAGCGGGUCAAUAAACCCCCCUCCCGCCACCCCCCCCUACUCUUCUG
rnacentral:rRNA from 1 species